ACAGGAUCAUAGCAUAAUACUGAAUCCAGCGAAGCCUCUGUUUGAAGGUCUUUGCCUGCAACUACAUAGAUUUUAUCAUCCACCUCUCCCAGACCGAAGAGACACCUGGCUGAAGGCAGAGGUGGAAGUCCAACCCAUUCAGAUGCUCAGAUAAAAAGUACUCACGGAAGUAAGGACUACAAGCUGACAAAAUCAAUCUGUGGC
rnacentral:lncRNA from 1 species